rnacentral:rRNA from 1 species
CUGCUGCCUCCCGUAGGAGUUUGGGCCGUGUCUCAGUCCCAAUGUGGCCGGUCACCCUCUCAGGUCGGCUACUGAUCGUCGGCUUGGUGGGCCGUUACCCCGCCAACUACCUAAUCAGACGCGGGUCCAUCCUGUACCACCGGAGUUUUUCACACCGGACCAUGCGGUCCUGUGCGCUUAUGCGGUAUUAGCAGUCAUUUCUAACUGUUGUCCCCCUGUACAGGGCAGGUUACCCACGCGUUACUCACCCGUCCGCCACUCAGU